CUCAGUUGAGAGUGACUUGAUCCCAUGCUGUCUCAAUUUUUUUAUUAAUUCCUAUUGUCUCAUUAGAAGCUCUUGUAUCUAUUUAUGUAACAUGUUUGAGAACUUAAUUAAGUAAGGAAAACACUUUCCUCCUUCACUCUCUCUCUCUCUAUCUCUCAUGUUCUUCUUCUAGUUACUUAAUCCUCUCAACUAUACUCUGAUAAAUCACAAAACUCACAUGAACGAGCUCUUUGUGGUUUCCAAACUGUAAAGUUUCGAUGAUGACUCCGAUCGAGACGAAACAAGAGUCACUUCGAUCCAAUCACAGAAGAGGGAACUACGAGAAUGGGGUGAAGGCACCGUGGUCGGUCCAACUCGCCCAUUUGACGAGUUGGACAGUGUGAUCGGUCCAACUCUCCCGUUUGGCGAGUUGGACGAUGGUUUUUUUUGUUUUUGGGAUACGUUGUCCGAGGCCUUGAGCAACCUUUCUUGAAGAUUUAUUUCGUGAAUCCUUUUCGGAAGCGUUACAAAACUUGACUUAGUUCAACCGCUUCUCUAUUUUUUUGAGUUUUAUCUUUUCUUUUUUUUAAAGAGGACAUUUCUCAGUAAGUUUUAUGACUUUUAUUUCGUCGUAACCGAUUUUGACCCAAACAUGCCGCGACCGAUGACUACAUAUUAACAUCGAUCAACAUCUAUUCCGGUAUUGUAUAUCGUUCUUACUUGUUAAAUUGAGUCCUUUUGUGUUAGUUAUCACCAUAACUCCGACUGAAUUUAUACUGGGGACAAUGUAGUUUAAGUAAGGGGGGGGGGAGGUUUACUGAUAGUAGUUUAUUUCAUGAGUCUUAUUAAAGUUUUCAAAAAGAAGUUUUUUAUUGAGUCAAGAAGGGGACAAUGAACUUAUUGAUUUUGUUUGUUAUCUAACCACACCAUUCUAGACUUACUAGUUGCAGAUAGCACUAAAGAUACCAAAGUGGAUCAACUUGUGAACUAUGUUACACUUUCGUAGAAUGUUUGAAGGAACCAAAGCUGACCUCCAACCUAACUGAGCUCAACGUUGCUUGUCUUGGGGCUUGGUAUAC
rnacentral:lncRNA from 1 species